rnacentral:sRNA from 1 species
AGCUCCUCAAACAGAACGGCCAUGUUGGUUUUGAAGGAUGCAGCACGGCCCUUGCACAGGUCUGGCUUUUCAGGCUGCGGCUUUGCUCCGCUGCUGCUGCCGGAUCCUCCUGCAUCAGUGUCGUCCUGCUGCUUCGCAUCCUCCUCGUCCUCGUUAGGGACUACGGACCCAACCUUAUGACCUUCCAUGUAAUAUUUGCAUGCAGCCAGAAUGGCAUGACCACGGUGGCGGAAGUGGCCAGCUACAAGGGCAUCAAAGUGCUGAAACAAAUAAUAAAUGACAAGGGAUGUUAUUAGAUGGUCUUGUGUAGUACAAAAGAGCUUGAUAAGCAGCACAACAUUACCUGUGGAGAUCUACGGAGUGAGUAUAACAUCGUCCUGCAUGAGUACUGAAAUGUGGUAUCAUUAUAGUCCAUGGCACUCUUCUGUCCAGUAGCACUGUUGGCAUAGGUCUCAUAUCCUGGCUCAUUGAAGUAUGGGUUCUCAUUCAAUACGAGAGCUUGAAUGGAGACUAAAACCUG